rnacentral:misc_RNA from 1 species
UUUUCAUGCCUAGCGGUGCGGCCUGGCUCCUGCCUAGUGUAUUUCACUCAAGACGCAUCCCUUUAUUGGGCUAGUUGAGACGUGUUUUACGUUGGGCGGUGCUGGGUUUAGCUAACGUCACGGCGUAUGAGUGGUAAUUGGGUUGUAUUCGACGACAGGCUCCGUGCUUUGGCAUCGAACUGUCUGCUCGUACCCCGCUUCAGUGAUGCAUCAAGAUUUGUGUCUUGUGCGCGGUUAGGUUUCUGUUUUGGCUACCUAUCGUAAAGGAAUGUUGCCUCUCGUUGUCCCUUUCAUCCUCUUGCUGGCCUUGCUGGCGGGAGGACGACAUUGUAGCGAUGCCCGUGUCCCGAACAACCCACAGUUUUUGUGAGAUUGUGUCGGUGCUCGAGUUUUUGCUUGAUAUCUCGGAUGCGGAACACUAAAGGGACGGUGGGUCUCUAUGGCCUCCUAUCGUCCAUUCGAAGCCUUGUCGCUCGAUGCGUACGACUGUUGUGCCCGUGGUGAGCGAUCGACCUUCAAGGUCGUUUGUCUCGCGCGGCGUCGGCGUCGAAGAGGAAUGC